GACGAACGCUGGCGGCGUGCCUAACACAUGCAAGUCAACUUGACUGAAGGAGCAAUCUGACAGUAGAGUGGCGCAAGGGUGCGUAACGCGUAAGUAACUUGCCCAAGGUAAGGAAUAACGUCGAGAAAUCGGCGCUAAUACCUCAUAAUGCAGCGGAUCCGCAUGGAUAUGUUGUUAAAGGUUUACCGCCUUGGGAUAGGCUUGCGUCUGAUUAGCUAGUUGGUGUGGUAACAGCACACCAAGGCUACGAUCAGUAACUGGUCUGAGAGGAUGAUCAGUCACACUGGAACUGAGACACGGUCCAGACUCCUACGGGAGGCAGCAGUGAGGAAUAUUGGGCAAUGCUCGAAAGAGUGACCCAGCAACGCCGCGUGGAGGAUGAAGGUAUUCUAUAUCGUAAACUCCUGUGAGAGCAGACGAAAGACAGAUUAUUAAUCUGGAUGACUGUAUGCUCAGAGGAACGCCCCGGCUAACUAC
rnacentral:rRNA from 1 species